rnacentral:rRNA from 1 species
AGUGAACGCUGGCGGUAGGCCUAACACAUGCAAGUCGAACGGCAGCACAGUAAGAGCUUGCUCUUACGGGUGGCGAGUGGCGGACGGGUGAGGAAUACAUCGGAAUCUACUUUUUCGUGGGGGAUAACGUAGGGAAACUUACGCUAAUACCGCAUACGACCUACGGGUGAAAGCAGGGGAUCUUCGGACCUUGCGCGAUUGAAUGAGCCGAUGUCGGAUUAGCUAGUUGGCGGGGUAAAGGCCCACCAAGGCGACGAUCCGUAGCUGGUCUGAGAGGAUGAUCAGCCACACUGGAACUGGGACACGGUCCAGACUCCUACGGGAGGCAGCAGUGGGGAAUAUUGGACAAUGGGGGCAAGCCUGAUCCAGCCAUACCGCGUGGGUGAAGAAGGCCUUCGGGUUGUAAAGCCCUUUUGUUGGGAAAGAAAAGCAGCAGGUUAAUACCCCGCUGUUCUGACGGUACCCAAAGAAUAAGCACCGGCUAACUUCGUG